rnacentral:tRNA from 1 species
ACCGCGAUAGCUCAGUUGGCAGAGCAUUUGCCCGGCGAGCGAAGUGUCUCCGGUUCCAUUCCGGCUCACGAUG